rnacentral:rRNA from 1 species
AUUGAACGCUGGCGGCAUGCCUUACACAUGCCAGUCGAACGGCAGCACGGGUGCUUGCCCCUGGUGGCGAGUGGCGAACGGGUGAGUAAUACAUCGGAACAUGUCCUGUAGUGGGGGAUAGCCCGGCGAAAGCCGGAUUAAUACCGCAUACGAUCUACGGAUGAAAGCGGGGGACCUUCGGGCCUCGCGCUAUAGGGUUGGCCGAUGGCUGAUUAGCUAGUUGGUGGGGUAAAGGCCUACCAAGGCGACGAUCAGUAGCUGGUCUGAGAGGACGACCAGCCACACUGGGACUGAGACACGGCCCAGACUCCUACGGGAGGCAGCAGUGGGGAAUUUUGGACAAUGGGCGAAAGCCUGAUCCAGCAAUGCCGCGUGUGUGAAGAAGGCCUUCGGGUUGUAAAGCACUUUUGUCCGGAAAGAAAUCCUUGGCUCUAAUACAGCCGGGGGAUGACGGUACCGGAAGAAUAAGCACCGGCUAACUACGUG